rfam:Enterococcus avium ATCC 14025 genomic scaffold acpMO-supercont1.1, whole genome shotgun sequence.
GGCACCUGUACUCGUUGCGGGGCAACGAUGACCAGAGA